rnacentral:rRNA from 1 species
CCCUUAGAUGUCCGGGGCUGCACGCGCGCUACACUGAAGGAAUCAGCGUGCUAAAACCAUUGUCGAAAGGCAUUGGUAAACCCAUUAAAAUCCUACGUGAUUGGGAUCGGGAAUUGCAAUUAUUUCCCUUGAACGAGGAAUUCCCAGUAAGUGUGGGUCAUAAGCUCGCGUUGAUUACGUCCCUGCCCUUUGUACACACCGCCCGUCGCUGCCCGGGACUGAGCCGUUUCGAGAAAAGCGGGGACUGCUGGUGUCGGGGCUUUCGGGCCUUGGCUUCGGUGGAAACCGCUUUAAUCGCAGUGGCUUGAACCGGGCAAAAGUCGUAACA